UACGUAGGGUGCGAGCGUUAAUCGGAAUUACUGGGCGUAAAGCGUGCGCAGGCGGUUUUGUAAGCCAGAUGUGAAAUCCCCGGGCUUAACCUGGGAAUGGCAUUUGGGACUGCAAGGCUCGAGUGCGGCAGAGGAGACUGGAAUUCCUGGUGUAGCAGUGAAAUGCGUAGAGAUGUGGAGGAACACCGAUGGCGAAGGCAGCCCCCUGGGGUAACACUGACGCUCAUGCACGAAAGCGUGGGGAGCAAACAGG
rnacentral:rRNA from 1 species